rnacentral:rRNA from 1 species
GACGAACGCUGGCGGCGUGCUUAACACAUGCAAGUCGAACGGUGAAGGGACUGGUUUUGCUGGUCCUGGAUGAGUGGCGAACGGGUGAGUAACACGUGAGUAACCUGCCCCCUUCUUCUGGAUAACCGCAUGAAAGUGUGGCUAAUACGGGAUAUUCUGGGUCUGUCGCAUGGUGGGCCUGGGAAAGAUUGCGCCUUUUUUGGUGUUUUUGGUGGGGGAUGGGCUCGCGGCCUAUCAGCUUGUUGGUGGGGUGAUGGCCUACCAAGGCGGUGACGGGUAGCCGGCCUGAGAGGGUGGACGGUCACACUGGGACUGAGACACGGCCCAGACUCCUACGGGAGGCGGCAGUGGGGAAUAUUGCACAAUGGGCGCAAGCCUGAUGCAGCGACGCCGCGUGAGGGAUGGAGGCCUUCGGGUUGUGAACCUCUUUCGCCAGUGAAGCAGGCCUGCCUCUUUUUGUGGGUGGGUUGACGGUAGCUGGAUAAGAAGCGCUGGCUAACUACGUG